CCUACGGGAGACUGCAGUGAGGAAUAUUGGUCAAUGGACGAGAGUCUGAACCAGCCAAGUAGCGUGAAGGAUGACUGCCCUAUGGGUUGUAAACUUCUUUUAUAUGGGAAUAAAAUGUUCCACGUGUGGGAUUUUGUAUGUACCAUAUGAAUAAGGAUCGGCUAACUCCGUGCCAGCAGCCGCGGUAAUACGGAGGAUCCGAGCGUUAUCCGGAUUUAUUGGGUUUAAAGGGUGCGUAGGUGGAUUGUUAAGUCAGUUGUGAAAGUUUGCGGCUCAACCGUAAAAUUGCAGUUGAAACUGGCAGUCUUGAGUACAGUAGAGGUGGGCGGAAUUCGUGGUGUAGCGGUGAAAUGCUUAGAUAUCACGAAGAACUCCGAUUGCGAAGGCAGUUCACUGGACUGCAACUGACACUGAGGCUCGAAAGUGUGGGUAUCAAACAGGAUUAGAUACCCUUGUAGUC
rnacentral:rRNA from 1 species